GAGAUGGCCAACAUGAAGGAGGAAUUCUUGAAGCUGAAGGAGGCUUAUGCAAAAUCUGAAGCCCGAAGAAAAGAGCUUGAGGAGAAAAUGGUCACCCUUCUCCAAGAGAAAAAUGACCUGCAGCUCCAAGUCCAAGCGGUUAGAAAAACACUUCUAUGGCAUUUUUCUUUAACUCCUCAUUUCAGCAUGUGCUAAUGUGACUGAAUGUUUUGCAGGAGCAAGAUAAUCUCUGUGAUGCAGAGGAAAGGUGUGAGGGGCUGAUCAAAAACAAGAUUCAGCUAGAGGCUAAAGCAAAAGAGCUUACUGAGAGACUGGAGGAUGAGGAGGAGAUGAAUGCUGAUCUGACAGCUAAGAAGAGAAAGCUGGAGGAUGAGUGUUCAGAGUUAAAGAAGGAUAUUGAUGACUUAGAGUUAACUCUGGCAAAAGUUGAGAAAGAGAAGCACGCCACCGAGAACAAGGUACCGUCAACCUUCAUUAAAUGCUUUGACUCCGUUCAGGAGCAAAAAGAGGCAUUUAGCAAUCCAUCUCUUCUUUUGCGAACAGGUUAAAAAUCUGGUCGAGGAGAUGGCUGCUCAGGAUGAGAUCAUUGCCAAGCUGACCAAAGAAAAAAAAGCUUUACAGGAAGCUCAUCAGCAAACACUGGAUGACCUGCAGAGUGAAGAAGACAAAGUCAACACUCUGACCAAGGCCAAGGCUAAGCUGGAGCAGCAAGUGGACGAUGUAGGAAUUCAUAUCAGAGUUACACAACCCCUUUUAAUAAUAAAUAGUUGAAAAAUUAAAAACAGUUAUACUUUCUGUUGAUAAAAGCUUGAAGGUUCUCUUGAGCAAGAGAAGAAAGUUCGAAUGGACCUUGAGAGAGCAAAGAGAAAGCUGGAGGGAGACUUAAAGUUGAGCCAGGAGACAGUCAUGGAUUUGGAAAAUGACAAGCAACAGCUUGAGGAGCGCCUCAAAAAGUAUGUAAACUUUGUAUAAUCAUUAUGGUCAUUUCAUGAGGUGUUUCACUUCAAUAAGCUAAUGCUGAUCUCAUCAAAUCACUGCAGGAAAGACUUUGAGAUCAGCCAGCUGAAUGGAAGAAUUGAAGAUGAGCAGGCCAUAAUCAUUCAACUUCAAAAGAAGCUGAAAGAGCUGCAGGUAAAAAUGUACAUUAUUUCAGAACUGACAAUGUUAUUGCAAUAAGAGUGUAACUGCUCUGAAAUUUAGUGCACUGAGAGUGUUCUUGUGUAAAUAAUAGAUAACUUUUAGAGACAUAUUAUGUGAGACAACAGACAAUUGAAUUUCCCUUUGGGGAUUAUUAAAGUUGUUCUUAUCUUAUAGAUAGAUAGAAAGAAUUGAGAAUUUCCCAGUUUGGGAUCAAUAUAAUCUAUCUAUCUAUCUAUCUAUCUAUCUAUCUAUCUAUCUAUCUAUCUAUCUAUCUAUCUAUCUAUCUAUCUAUCUAUCUAUCUAUCUAUCUAUCUAUCUAUCUUGUCCCCAAAACGGACAUGCAGAUAAGUGUUAAUAAAGUAAUCAUUUUUUUUCCUUUUUUUCUUUUUGUUUUGACUGAUAUCUCUUAAUAAACUUCAGGACGCAGAUUUGCACCCGUGCAUUAACGCAGCAGCACACAAACUUUUUACACACGUAGCCCACUCCUGCAAAACAGACAAAGUUGGGGAGAUGGAGAGAAAAUGCGGCAAUGGACACUGAACUACUCCUUGUCACAUUUUUUUUUUUUUAAUUUGAGGAAAAAUAUGAACUCCCAAAAUGUGACUGUCAGCUCAAAAUAAAGAUGAUAAAAAUGACAAAUGUCUGCAAAACGGACAUGGUUGGAACCGAGGGUUAAGAGUGUUACUCCAUAAGUUGUGUAACUGCUUAAAAAAUUUUGUUGGAUUAUGAGUGUAACUGUACUUUUGUUGAAAUUGCACCUCUUGUGUUAUUGCAUUAAAAAUGCAUCAAGACUUACUACACUAAUAGUGUUACUGCAAGAUUGUUAAUACAUAAGAAGUGUAACUGCAUUUUAAGAUGCUGCUCUAACACUAGGCCCGUGUCGAGGAGCUUGAGGAAGAGCUGGAGGCAGAGCGAGCUGCCCGAGCUAAGGUGGAGAAACAGAGAGCAGACUUGGCCAGAGAGCUGGAGGAGAUCAGUGAGAGACUGGAGGAGGCUGGAGGAGCAACAGCUGCCCAGAUCGAGAUGAACAAGAAGAGAGAGGCAGAGUUCCUGAAGCUCCGCAGAGACCUUGAAGAGGCCACUCUGCAGCAUGAAGCCACCACUGCCACACUCAGGAAGAAACAGGCUGACAGUGUUGCUGACCUGGGAGAGCAGAUUGACAACCUGCAGAGAGUCAAGCAGAAACUGGAGAAGGAGAAGAGUGAGCUCAGACUGGAGCUGGAUGAUGUGGUCUCCAACAUGGAGCAGAUUGUGAAGGCUAAGGUAUAUGCACAUAAAAAUGCUUAGUCUGAGUUUUACUGACAGUUUUGACAACAAAUAAUUACCUCCGCCAAGGAGGUUAUGUUUUCGGUAGCGUAGGUUUGUUUGUUUGUUUGUUUGUUUGUGAGUUUGUUUGUCUGUUAGCAACUUUACGGAGAAAGUUACAGACAGAUUGACCUGAAAUUUUCACCAGAGGUGCGUCUCUGCCCCAGGAGAAUCCCAUUAAAUUUUGGUGGUGAUCCGGACAAAAUUCUCGAUACUGUGAUCCAGAACACACAAAAACUAGAAAAGCACUCGGAGAGCGCAGACCUACGCCAAGCAUCUCAUGUCCCCCCUUAUAUUGUGAUUCACACCAAAACUUUUACUGUUACAUGUCUUUUAUUAACUUUUAUUUGUGUUUUAAACUGGUAUGUUCACUGUUCAUAAUGUUCCUAAAACAAGGAAUGCCCUGACCAGGAUUCGAACCAACAACCUUCUGGUUGUGAGGCAACAGUGCUAACAACUACAUCACUGUACCGCCUAUCUACACCACUGUGCUGCCCAUUGCUUGUCUUUCAGCAUUGAAAAUUCCAAUGACACCCUUAUUUUUGUGCGUUCUGGAUCACAGUAUCGAGAAUUUUGUCCGGAUCACCACCAAAAUUUAAUGGGAUCCUCCUGUAGCGGGGCGGAUAAUAGCAUAUUACAUGAGAAUCGUUCACUUGCGGAUAAAAGCACCAAAAUUGGCACACACACUCCUUAGGAGUUGCUCUUUUGAUAUUUCCGUCUGGCCAAAUGAAAAUUCAAGAUGGCGGCCAUUUUUCAAGAUGGCCACCAUUGAAAAUACAGUAAUACUGCAUUUUGCAUUAAAAUCCCAUAGACUUGUCCUAUUUUAAUGAUCUUGGUGUCAAAUCAUACAUUUUCCACUAUGCAGAAUCCAAAUUUGGACCCAUGGACUUACUUACUGGCUUCCUUUUACCAUAUUUCAGUCCUGGAAUCCUAAUAUUCUGAUCCUAAUUAGGUCUACAUCAUGUGAGACUCGAGUAAAAUGGUUGGUAGCCUAUAUCUUAGUGUUGUUAGAGGUCUAGUGUGUGUGCUUCUAAGGAGAAUGUGUGCCAAUUUUGGUGCUUUUAUCCACAAGUGAACGACUAUUACAGUUAUCUGCCCAGCUACUGGGGCUGAGACGCACCUCUGGUGAAAAUUUCAGGUCAAUCCGUCUGAUGCUUUCUCUGUAAAGUUGCUAACAGACAAACAAACAAACCAACGCUACCAAAAACAUAACCUUCUUGGCGGAGGUAAUAAGGGUGUAAUUGGAAUUUUCAAUGCUGAAAGUGUGAAAGUGAAAUUUUGGUGUGAAUCACAAUAUAAGGGGGGACAUGAGCUGCUUGGCGGAGGUCUGCGCUCUCUGAGUGCUUUUCUAGUUUGACUUGAGUUCAGUAAAUCAACGUAAUCUGACAUUUGUGAGUGUUGAACCGAAAUACUUGAAACCCAAAAUGUUUAUUCCUCUGAGAUUAUGCAAGAAAACUGAAAUGUUUGACUAGGCCAUCUAAGAUCAAAGUAGAGAAUAAGUGUAGUUGAGAUAUAACCACUACUAGCUUUGACUUUCAGCGUAGUAUUAGUAAAACUAUUACUUAUUACCUGUGUAGACUAUCUUGGAGAAGACCUGUAGGACCUUUGAAGAUCAAAUGAAUGACUACAGGGGCAAGUGUGAUGAAUAUCAAAGAUCCCUCAAUGAUUUCACCACCCAAAAAGCCAAGCUUCAAGCUGAGAAUGGUAAGUGUUGUUCUCUUUUCAUUCAUCCCCACGGUUGUUAAAGAUACAGCAUGGACUGACUGCAUCACUGUAAUUGCUAGAUGAAUAUUCGAGACAGCUGGAGGAGAAAGAGUCACUGGUGUCUCAGCUGACCAGAGGAAAGAAUUCUUACAACCAACAACUUGAAGAUCUCAAGAGACAACUGGAAGAGGAAAUUAAGGUAUAAAUGAUCCAAAUCAUCGACUAUCUUGCCUUAAGAGUAGUCGUGAGUCCUUGAAAAACAAACAUGUUAUUAAUUUGAAUCCAGGCCAAGAACGCAUUGGCUCAUGCAGUGCAGUCUGCCCGUCAUGACUGUGACCUGCUCAGGGAGCAGUACGAGGAGGAGCAGGAGGCCAAGGCUGAACUCCAGCGUGGCAUGUCCAAAGCUAACUCUGAGGUGGCUCAGUGGAGGACUAAGUAUGAAACUGAUGCCAUCCAGAGGACAGAGGAACUGGAGGAGGCCAAGUGAGUCCAAGACACACAAGAAUCUCAGACUUGAAGGACUUGUGUUUCCCAUGAAUGCGACCUCAUUGAACUUUGCACUUUUGAACUCCUUGCCAUGAAAAGAAGGCUGUAUGCCAAGAAUUGUAUACAGAACAGGUUACUAGAGCUCCUUCAGCUUCUUAAAUACUCAAAUCAUUUAUAACACAGCUAGGUUUGUGGAAGCUUGUAGACAAGGAAGCCUCAUGUACAGAGGCUAUAUAGACAUAAAAGCUCAAAAUUGAAUUUUUGAAAAUACAGCUACAUCAUCAAAGUACUUUCAGUUUUAGCCCCUACCUAUGAGUAAAGCAUACAUGUAGCCAGUCAGAGUGAAAUCAGUUAGAUUAUUUCACCUGUGAAUUGCCAAAGGUGUGCAGAUGAUACUAGAUCAAAGAAGUUAUCUGCAUCACUUACUAAAAGGGUAACAGUUUACUGCAGGCCAGGAAAAGACUUAGGUCCAAGUCAAACAGACUCUCUGUAGAUUGGCAGGUUGUGCAGAGUCAUUUGUCUUACGGCCAAAUUCCACAUGAUCCGGAACAGCUGCGCUCCACUCUGGAACGGCAGGCGGAUCAAAUACGCAAGCAUUAUAAUCAAUGUGUGUGAUUCCACACAAUCCAUUCGCCGUCCAGCUCUGCUGCGGAUCAACUCCGGCAGUGGGAUCAGAUACGCAAGGCUUCUAUUUUUGCUGGACGCCGCAGUAUAACUCAACAAUUUAGUGCAACCCAGCAUGAGCAGCAGCAGAAAUUGUGUGUGGCUACAGAGUAAAAUAUCUGGUUAACAUUCAAAAUAAAAUAAAAUAAAGUCAAUACGUUGAAUUGUUCUUCAAGGGAUAAUAGGAGAGGCCAGGGUCAUGGUGGGUGUUUAUAUACACCACUGAUCUCAUUCAAUGCCUCAUGGUGAAACACACGACAUCUCGUGAGAUCUCAUCCAGUAUCGUGAGAAAUAUUGGUAAUAUCACAAGCGCCUCUCCUCCGCUUACUUCAGCAAUUCGGAUCCGGUGGGCACUGUAUGCUUGCGUAUUUGAUCCACCUGCCAGUCCGGGGGGAAGCGGAUCAGCAUGUGGUGGAAUCCCUGGGUUACUGUCAUGAAAAACAAUACAGGACCAGCAUUAACAUGGAGAAAGCUACCAAAAGCUGUUUUUGUCAAAAUCUAACGUGGCAAGAAUUUCUUUACAUAAUCAAUAUGUAGUUACAAUCUGUUAAGCAGAGCCAAUUUAAUCAGAGAAAAUAAUUCAUUUACAUGCUAGAACUUAUAUAUUGCAACAUGCCCCUCUUAUGGGCAUACAUGAAAUGCCAAGGCAGGGAGAACAGCACCAAAAAACCCUCUGGCACAGAGUAGUACAGGCAGAAUUGAAUGCUGAAGCCUGAGGCAGGGAGGACAUCCCCCUCAUGAGCAUACAUGAAAAGCCAGCAGAAAAGACCCCUUAGGUAAAAAGGGCAGACAAGGCCAGUUGCAAGUGGUUUGUCAGAGAAGCAGUGGUAUGCUUUUGCGUAACUGAGCUUUUGUGUUCCCAUUCACUGUAUACCGACAGUCUGAAACAGGCUCACUUUAUUUCAGCAGCUGCCUCAUUGACGUCAAUGUAGAUCUCUCUGCAUUGACUUGUGGAUAGCAUUCCAAGAAAUGAUCUCCAUCUUGUUCAUUUCCUGAGCUGCAUGGGGGUAGAGUUGUGCCAUUUCAUACCAUGUAGGGUAAUACCGGUGUACAGUUUUUGGUGAUAUAAAUUUGUCAUAUACCGGUAUUAACACUGUAGGGAUGCAAUGACGUAUUACAUUCCCUACUGCGUACACAACAACAAUAUCAGAGGGCGAGAGCAGCACAGCAGUGUCAACCUCAUCCUCAAAUGAGGAUCUAAUGCCAAGAAAGGGAGCUAUCUCUGUGGUAUGGAUGUUGUUUGGCUAACACAGCUCAUAAGUUUGACCACCUAAAGCUACAACACACUGCUGAAUAUCAGCAGGCUUUGAAGGCAUGUGAUGAGGACGUGAAAGCAGCUACUGGUGUUCAGAGUAGAAGUAGACAAGCAGCUCAAUGGAGCAUCGCAGGAGCACUCACUGCACUAGCCCGUACGUUGAAAAAAAACAGACAGUGGCAGGACAUUACAAAAGCGGUCAUGUAUUUUUUGGCCAAAGACAUGAAGCCAAUUCAGGUUGUCAGAAAGGAAGGCUUUAAAAAAAUCACCUCUUCAACUAAUGUGGUCGAGCCGAACCCCCGAACCCUAUUUUAGCUUAACGGUCCAUUACACAGGCUACAACUGGAAUCUACACAACUCCUGUCUUAAAAACAGCUACUUUCCCAAAGAUUAAAUAGGAGAAAAUAUCGUGAGGGGAUUAAGGGAGUUUCUUGAGUGAUGGAAUCUACAAGAGGACAUAAGGUGUGUUUGUGUAACGACAGACAACGAGGCUAAUAUUGUCAAUGUUGUCAAACAUUUACAUUUGAGGACAUUUGUAAAAACAAAAAACAUGAGGAAUGUUUUUUAUGGGGGGGGGGGGGUUGAACUCCUGUCCUGUUCAUGUAUGGCAGAUCUGAAUUCAUGUUUAUAAAUUAACCAAUAAUAAAAAUGCUGUUGUUUAGAAGCAGCAAUCACUAAUAAUAUGUUGUUUUGUAAUUAUUGUCCAUAUUGUCAUAAAUAUCGUUAUCGGAAAUUGCCUUGAAAUGACAUUUCAGUGACAGCGUAUCAUGACAUCAUUUUGAGGCUUUAUCAGCCACCAUUACAGGAGCAUGCUUUAGCACCAAGGGGUAAUACUUGUUCUUCCCUUCUAGAAAGAAGCUGGCCCAGCGUCUGCAGGACGCUGAGGAGGCUGUUGAAGCAGUGAAUGCAAAAUGUUCCUCUCUGGAGAAGACCAAACAUAGACUGCAGAAUGAGAUUGAAGAUCUCAUGGUGGAUGUGGAGAGGUCUAAUGCCGCUGCUGCUGCUCUGGACAAGAAGCAAAGAAACUUUGACAAAGUAAAAAGGAAACAAAACUAACCAAAGUUUUUGAAGUUUUACAUUUUCAUGAUGUUGGUCAUAUAUGAAUUUGCAGUGUUGCAGAUGAAGUUCCAGCCCUUUAGCAGCAUACAAUGAUUAUCAGCUGACAAUACAUGAGACAAUGUUCGUACUUGUUCAGCAGUUUAUAAGAACAAACAUGGUCUCUACAAAUGAUAUGGCACUGCAGGGGGAAAAUUGUGGUGAUCUGAUGAUUUUAUUGUCUUGAUGAGUAGGUCCUUUCUGAGUGGAAGCAGAAAUAUGAGGAGUGUCAGUGUGAGCUGGAGAGCUCUCAGAAAGAAGCAAGGUCUCUGAGCACUGAGCUCUUCAAACUCAAAAACUCCUAUGAAGAAUCUCUAGAGCAUCUGGAGACCAUGAAGAGAGAGAACAAGAAUCUGCAAGGUGAUCUAGUGGUGAAUAUGACUUGAAAAUAUGUAACAAUGCAUAUGCAAAAAUAACCAGUUAAGCCUCACUACUUUCAUAAACAGAGGAAAUUUCUGAUCUUACUGAGCAACUUGGUGAGGGAGGGAAAACCAUACAUGAGCUGGAGAAAGUCCGGAAGCAACUUGAGCAGGAAAAGACUGAGAUUCAGUCUGCGCUUGAAGAGGCAGAGGUACACUCACGUUCUUCGGUUCCUCAAAUGUACAUUAUAUUUUCGGUUUCAAAAUAUCACCGUACAUUGGCCUUGAAAAUAGUUGUAUGCUUGUUUGUGCCUUUCUUAGGCUUCUCUUGAACAUGAAGAGGGAAAGAUUCUGAGAGCCCAGCUUGAAUUUGCCCAAGUUAAGGCAGACAUGGAGCGUAAACUGUCUGAGAAAGAUGAAGAAAUGGAGCAAUGCAAAAGGAACUCCCAGAGGACCAUUGACACCCUGCAGAGCUCCCUUGAGGCUGAAAUUCGCAGCAGGAAUGAGGCCCUCCGUCUGAAGAAGAAGAUGGAGGGAGACCUCAAUGAGAUGGAGAUCCAGCUUAGCCAGGCCAACAGGCAGGCAGCUGAGGCUCAGAAACAGCUCAAGGCUGUUCAUGCACAUCUGAAGGUAGAAAAGAAACUUACUUUUUGUUUUUAAUGUUAUCAUUGCAGUGGAAAUUGUCUAACUAGAUGUAUUAACGAUUUUACAGGAUUCUCAACUCCAACUUGAUGACUCUCUGCGUGCAAAUGAAGACAUGAAAGAAAACAUUGCCAUAGUUGAGAGACGCAACAACCUCCUGCAGGCUGAAGUUGAGGAGCUGAGGUCUGCUCUGGAGCAAACUGAGAGAGGUCGCAAACUCGCUGAGCAAGAGCUCCUGGAUGUCAGUGAGAGGGUGCAGCUGCUGCACUCACAGGUAUGUUAGAUAUUAGCCUUUUUAAAAAAAAAUGAUGCUGCAAAUUUCCUUGUGUAAUAAACACCCUUAUUGUGUAUCAAAGAACACUAGCCUGAUAAAUCACAAGAAGAAGCUGGAGGCAGACACAGCCCAGCUCCAAACUGAAGUAGAGGAUGCAGUUCAGGAGUGUAGGAAUGCUGAGGAGAAGGCCAAGAAGGCCAUUACUGAUGCUGCCAUGAUGGCUGAGGAGCUGAAGAAAGAACAGGACACCAGUGCUCACCUGGAGCGCAUGAAGAAGAACAUGGAGCAAACCAUCAAAGACCUGCAGCACCGUCUGGAUGAAGCUGAACAGAUUGCUAUGAAGGGAGGAAAGAAGCAGGUGCAGAAGCUCGAGGCCAGGGUGAGUGUAACAUACAGUAUAUAUUUGCGUGUGGCCAGUAGUGUUGUUGAGUUUGUUGUUAAGAAAACACAAUAUAAAAACAAAUAAAAACAUUAUCCCUGACCAGGUGAGGGAGCUGGAAAAUGAGGUUGAAAUGGAGCAAAAGAAAAGCAGUGAGGCUGUGAAGGGCAUCCGCAAAUAUGAGCGACGCAUCAAGGAGCUUACCUACCAGGUUUGUUGAGGGUAGUCAGAGCCGCAUGUGUGCUUAUGGUUCUUUAUUCAAGGUAAGUUUGUAACCUUUGUUCUUUUCUACACAGAGUGAGGAGGACCGCAAGAAUAUUGCCAGGCUCCAAGAUCUGGUUGAUAAGCUGCAGCUCAAAGUCAAAGCUUACAAGAGGUCUACAGAGGAAGCUGUAAGUGAGAAAAUUUGCCAAGUGAGGUCAACAUGCUGUUGUUUCCCCCUUUACUUUGUAACUUUAUAUUUGCUUCAAUAUUGAACAGGAGGAACAGGCCAAUGUUCAUCUUGGCAAGUUCCGUAAGUUGCAGCAUGAGCUGGAUGAAGCCGAGGAGAGAGCUGACAUUGCCGAGACUCAGGUCAACAAGCUUCGUGCCAAGAGUCGGGAUGCCGGGCCCAAGGUUUGAAAGCAUGCAUUCUGUACCAGGUGCACAGCAUCUGACCCUGACACAUGCUGCCCUCUCAUGGCUGCGAGUUAACUUGAAUGCUGCGCUGCUUUUCAAGUGUUGGAACAGAUUAGUGUAAAGUCAACAGCAGUGCUUCUGUUUAAAACUGUGCAAUACUAAUCUAAAGACCCUUACAGCUGUUUCUCUUUCUCUCUCCUUCCAACUAUCCUGGCUGCAACAGAAAGGCUUUGAUGAGGAGUGAACCUGUGGAACCUUCAGAGAAACCUUUGUGUGCUGUGUACUGUAGUUCCCCUAAACUAUCACUAUUUACAUCCUGUAGUCCUUAAUAAACCUGACUGAGCUGCUCUUUUUUGUGUUUUUCCAUCAUUUUUGUCAUGUAAGGGAUAAGAAAAGCAGUAUAAGCCCUUAUCUCUUGAAUCGGAAUAUGAUGUUUACAUGCAAAAACACAAAAACUAGAUUCUUCAAAAUCCAAC